GAUGAACGCUGGCGGCGUGCCUAAUACAUGCCAGUCGAGCGAACGGACGAGGCGCUUGCUUCUCUGAUGUUUGCGGCGCACGGGUGUGUAACACGUGGAUACCCUCCCUAUAUGUCUGGGAUCACUUCGGGACACCGGCGCUAAUACCGGAUGAUCUUUUGAACCGCGGGGUUCAAAGGUGAGAGACGGUCUUUGUGUCACGUAUCGCUGGAUCCGCGCUGCAUGAGCUAGUUGGUAAGGUAACGGCUUACGAAGGCAACGAUGCGUAGCCGACGUGAGUGAGGGAUCGGCCACACGGGAACGGAGACACGGACCAUACUCCUACGGGAGGCAGCAGAAGGGAAUGUUCCGCAAUGGGCGAAAGCCUGACGGAGUAAGGCCGCGUGAGUGAUGACGGUGUUCGGAUCGUAAAACUCGGUUAUGAGGGAAGAACAGAUGUGGAAGGAAAUGUGCACAUCUUGACGGUACCGAAUCAGAAAGCCACGGCUAACUACGUG
rnacentral:rRNA from 1 species